CCUACGGGAGGCAGCAGUGGGGGAUAUUGCACAAUGGGGGAAACCCUGAUGCAGCGACGCAGCGUGGGUGAAGACGGGCCUCGGCGCGUAAAGCCCUGUCAGCAGGGAAGAAAAUGACGGUACGUGAAGAAGAAGCCCCGGCUAACUACGUGCCAGCAGCCGCGGUAAUACGGAGGGGGCAAGCGUGAUCCGGAUUUACUGGGGGUAAAGGGGGCGUAGACGGGUUUGCAAGCCAGGAGUGAAAGCCCGGGGGCCAACCCCGGGACUGCUCUUGAAACUGCGUGGCUUGAGUGCAGGAGGGGCAGGCGGAAUUCCUGGGGUAGCGGUGAAAUGCGUAGAUAUCAGGAGGAACACCGGUGGCGAAGGCAGCCUGCUGGACUGCAACUGACGUUGAGGCCCGAAAGCGUGGGGAGCAAACAGGAUUAGAUACCCGGGUAGUC
rnacentral:rRNA from 1 species